GAAUUCAGCUAGCUAUCUCUCUCCAGGGUCUAAUUUGAGUUUUCCCCCAAACCUUUUUCACUACGAUCCUUUCAACUGGAGGCAAGAAGGAUUGGGGCUGAAAUUUGUCAACCUGCAAAACAUGCUAACGUUUGCAAUGGGAAAUGUCUGUGGCAUGAAAUGCUAUGGUGUGCAAGUAGGUCAAAAAAGGCAAUUGCGCUUACAACUGCUAAAGCUUUUGUUAGAAUAUUUAAGGUCACACUUCUCCUUCAAAAGUUGAUAGUCCUCAAGGUUUCACUUUAAAAAUAUCGUGGCACACAGCUACAUGCUAAACAAGUUGCCUGUCGUCAUUCAUUGGGUGCUAUGAUUUCUCAUGCUCUUUUUGCAGGUAGAACUCUUAGCCCACACUGACUCCAUCUUUGACCUCUUGAACAGCCCAGCAAGCGGGAUUGUCCAGGAGAAGCUCAGUUUUGCCCAGCAGCAUCCAGGCACUGAAAUUGAGUUCAUCACUGAAAUGUGCACUCUGAGAGCCUUUCGGGUGAGGUAUGGAAGAAACCGUUUGAUGGCUGUGCGUGGCAGAUUCCUCAUGCUCGACCCGCAGUCGACCUCCUCCUCUCCUGCCUUGACCUUUGUUGCCUUCUGUACUCCUGUCACACACCUGUCAGAAGAUGCAGAUGGGGCUUCCAAUGCCUUCUCAUUCCAGAGCCAGCACACACUGGAUAUGAAGAUCGUGGAGAUGACUGACAAGUAAGAAAAAUCCACUAUUUGAGCAGCUUAGUAGGGCCAGUAUGGAUAUUAUUUAUGAUAUAAUUUAUUCAAUUUAUAUCCUGCCCUUCCUCCCGAAGCCAAAGGAACCCAGGGUGGCAAGCACAUCAAUUUUAAAAACAAACAAAACAUUUUUUGAAGCAUUAUACGACCAGUUUAAAACAUUCUAUCAGCCAUUGAUUUCAGGGUUGCCAAGAGCAGCAGUUUCCAGGCAUCAAACACCGGGGUAAAAGAAAUGUUUUUCAAUUGUUCCUGAAAGCCAGUAGUGAUGGAGAGAGAUGCAUCACACAGUGACAGCAUUCUACAAACGGAUUGAGUCGCCAAAUGACCAGAAAAGAAAACCUGCCCUCUGUUCCUGUGUUUUGAUCUGCAAUCAUUAGCAGGUGAAGAUUUUCAUGGAAAUCAACUGCUGCUAGAGCUUUUGGUGGCUGGGCGUAGGCAGAAUACACUUAUA
rnacentral:lncRNA from 1 species